GACGAACGCUGGCGGCGUGCUUAACACAUGCAAGUCGAACGGAAAGGCCCUGCUUUUGUGGGGUGCUCGAGUGGCGAACGGGUGAGUAACACGUGAGUAACCUGCCCUUGACUUUGGGAUAACUUCAGGAAACUGGGGCUAAUACCGGAUAGGAGCUCCUGCUGCAUGGUGGGGGUUGGAAAGUUUCGGCGGUUGGGGAUGGACUCGCGGCUUAUCAGCUUGUUGGUGGGGUAGUGGCUUACCAAGGCUUUGACGGGUAGCCGGCCUGAGAGGGUGACCGGCGACAAUGGUACUGAGAUACGGACCAGACUCCUACGGGAGGCAGCAGUGGGGAGUAUUGCACAAUGGGCGGAAGCCUGAUGCAGCAACGCCGCGUGCGGGAUGACGGCCUUCGGGUUGUAAACCGCUUUCGCCUGUGACGAAGCGUGAGUGACGGUAAUGGGUAAAGAAGCACCGGCUAACUACGUG
rnacentral:rRNA from 1 species